GUGGCAAUAGGUUAACGGUUAAACUAUAGUACUUCCAAUACUGUUAUACGUGUUCGAUUCACGUUUGCCACA
rnacentral:tRNA from 1 species